rnacentral:rRNA from 1 species
GUGUCAGCAGCCGCGGUAAUACGUAGGGUGCAAGCGUUGUCCGGAAUUAUUGGGCGUAAAGAGCUCGUAGGCGGUUCGUCGCGUCGGCUGUGAAAACCCGGAGCUCAACUCCGGGCCUGCAGUCGAUACGGGCGGACUUGAGUGUUGCAGGGGAGACUGGAAUUCCUGGUGUAGCGGUGAAAUGCGCAGAUAUCAGGAGGAACACCGGUGGCGAAGGCGGGUCUCUGGGCAACUACUGACGCUGAGGAGCGAAAGCGUGGGGAGCGAACAGGAUUAGAAACCCCCGUAGUCC